GGAAGAAGAGCAGCGCCCUCUCCCUCCCGGCUCUCAGAAAUCCCCAGCAGCACAGGGAGCGCUCCUGCGUGUCCUGCCCUGCUCCUGCUCCCUCUGCAGGUGUCAGGCUCCUGGAAAGUGCGAGAGCAGUGAGAAACCCGUGUUUGUGUAGUGUGAGGUGCCUCGCCCUGGUUUAGCCUUAACAAGAUCCCUCCUAUAUAUUUAAUGGCCUGAAUGUAAAAUUUACAGCUUGGAAUGUCCCAGCAGCAGAGGAAGCCUUCAGCACACAAGCUGCCUUUUGCAGGGCAGGAGAAGUGAAAUCCCCCGAGGUUUGGGAAGUCUGAGUGAUGUAGUUAUGGUUGGCACUUUGAAUAUCUGUGUAGACUACUUCAAAAUAAAUAUUUGCAGUUCUACUCUAACAUACAUCUGGGAGGGUGAGAACUAGCAUGUAUUAAUGUUCCUUCAAAUUAAUAAUUUUGAAAAUUUUACAGUGAAAUAAUUUUGCUGUUGCACAUAAUAAACAGAGGUUGCUGUGGGUGCAUACUGGGGAGAGACUCACCUGCCCUCUGUGGACACCAUUUCCUCCUGUUUUGAAAGGAACCAGCCCUUCUCACAUUUCAGCCCCUUUAAAGAAGGGAAAGCAAAGGUAAGGGAGCUCUUGCAAGACUUGCCAUUUUAAUCUCUUGUUUUGACAUUUGCAGCUUUUGUGUUGCUGAAACUCUCAUUCACCUGCUGCCUGUGUGUAUGAAGAGAACCAGACAGAAAAAUUCAUUUCAGUCCCCUGGGGGAAGUUGUGCAAGGUCUGAUUUCCCUCCCAGUGUCAUUGUGCCUCUGCUGUGUGCUUGAUGCCACUCAGGCCCUGCACAGAACACACUCAGGGGGGAAGGAGGCUGGAAUUGCACCCAGGAUAAACACAGAGAGAUGCCCUGGGAAUUGCUGUGUCCAUGGAAUGCCUGUGAUAGGGCCCAGAUCCCAGCCCAGGAGGUUCUUUCCCUUGGUCAGCACUGGAAACACAGAGGGGAAAGAUGAGAAAUCAAAGAAAAGGAGGGAAAAAAAAAAAGGACCGACCCAGUUCCUGUGUUGCCUGCUGCUGCUUUGCUGCUUUCUCCUUCACCAGGAGGCAGGAAAGAGCAAGGAAAGUGGGUCACAUGAGAAGGGGCUGAACAUACGUGGUCU
rnacentral:lncRNA from 1 species